UACGUAGGGGGCAAGCGUUGUCCGGAAUCAUUGGGCGUAAAGAGCGUGUAGGCGGUCCGGUAAGUCCGCUGUGAAAGUCGGGGGCUCAACCCUCGAAUGCCGGUGGAUACUGUCGGGCUAGAGUGCGGAAGAGGCGAGUGGAAUUCCUGGUGUAGCGGUGAAAUGCGCAGAUAUCAGGAAGAACACCCGUGGCGAAGGCGGCUCGCUGGGACGGUACUGACGCUGAGGCGCGAAAGCGUGGGGAGCAAACAGG
rnacentral:rRNA from 1 species